UGCGACCAUUCAUCGGCGGCCAUCAAUGA
rnacentral:sRNA from 1 species